AACGAACGCUGGCGGCGUGGAUAAGACAUGCAAGUCGAACGGGAGAAUUGCUAGCUUGCUAAUAAUUCUCUAGUGGCGCACGGGUGAGUAACACGUGAGUAACCUGCCUCUUAGUGGGGGAUAGCCCUGGGAAACCGGGAUUAAUACCGCAUACGAUUGAAAGAUCAAAGCAGCAAUGCGCUAGGAGAUGGGCUCGCGGCCUAUUAGUUAGUUGGUGAGGUAACGGCUCACCAAGGCGAUGACGGGUAGCCGGUCUGAGAGGAUGUCCGGCCACACUGGAACUGAGACACGGUCCAGACACCUACGGGUGGCAGCAGUCGAGAAUCAUUCACAAUGGGGGCAACCCUGAUGGUGCGACGCCGCGUGGGGGAAUGAAGGUCUUCGGAUUGUAAACCCCUGUCAUGUGGGAGCAAAUUAAAAAGAUAGUACCACAAGAGGAAGAGACGGCUAACUCUGUGCCAGCAGCCGCGGUAAUACAGAGGUCUCAAGCGUUGUUCGGAAUCACUGGGCGUAAAGCGUGCGUAGGCUGUUUCGUAAGUCGUGUGUGAAAGGCAGGGGCUCAACCCCUGGAUUGCACAUGAUACUGCGAGACUAGAGUAAUGGAGGGGGAACCGGAAUUCUCGGUGUAGCAGUGAAAUGCGUAGAUAUCGAGAGGAACACUCGUGGCGAAGGCGGGUUCCUGGACAUUAACUGACGCUGAGGCACGAAGGCCAGGGGAGCGAAAGGGAUUAGAUACCCCUGUAGUCCUGGCAGUAAACGGUGCACGCUUGGUGUGCGGGGAAUCGACCCCCUGCGUGCCGGAGCUAACGCGUUAAGCGUGCCGCCUGGGGAGUACGGUCGCAAGAUUAAAACUCAAAGAAAUUGACGGGGACCCGCACAAGCGGUGGAGUAUGUGGCUUAAUUCGAUGCAACGCGAAGAACCUUACCUGGGCUUGACAUGUAAUGAACAACAUGUGAAAGCAUGCGACUCUUCGGAGGCGUUACACAGGUGCUGCAUGGCCGUCGUCAGCUCGUGUCGUGAGAUGUUUGGUUAAGUCCAGCAACGAGCGCAACCCCUGUUGCCAGUUACCAUCGAGUAAUGUCGGGGACUCUGGCGAGACUGCCCAGAUCAACUGGGAGGAAGGUGGGGACGACGUCAGGUCAGUAUGGCCCUUAUGCCCAGGGCUGCACACGUACUACAAUGCCCAGUACAGAGGGGGCCGAAGCCGCGAGGCGGAGGAAAUCCUGAAAACUGGGCCCAGUUCGGACUGUAGGCUGCAACCCGCCUACACGAAGCCGGAAUCGCUAGUAAUGGCGCAUCAGCUACGGCGCCGUGAAUACGUUCCCGGGUCUUGUACACACCGCCCGUCACAUCAUGGAAGCCGGUCGCACCCGAAGUAUCUGAAGCCAACCGCAAGGAGGCAGGGUCCUAAGGUGAGACUGGUAACUGGGAUGAAG
rnacentral:rRNA from 1 species